GACGAACGCUGGCGGCGUGCCUAAUACAUGCAAGUCGAACGCAAAACUUUCACCGAAUGCUUGCAUUCACGAAAGUUUUGAGCGGCGAACGGGUGAGUAACACGUGGGUAACCUGCCCAGAAGAGGGGGAUAACACUUGGAAACAGGUGCUAAUACCGCAUAAUAACAAAAACCGCAUGGUUUUUGUUUGAAAGAUGGUUUUGCUAUCACUUCUGGAUGGACCCGCGGCGUAUUAGCUAGUUGGUAAGGUAAAGGCUUACCAAGGCAAUGAUACGUAGCCGAACCGAGAGGUUGAUCGGCCACAUUGGGACUGAGACACGGCCCAAACUCCUACGGGAGGCAGCAGUAGGGAAUCUUCCACAAUGGACGAAAGUCUGAUGGAGCAACGCCGCGUGAGUGAAGAAGGUUUUCGGAUCGUAAAACUCUGUUGUUAGAGAAGAACGUGUGUGAGAGUAACUGCUCAUGCAGUGACGGUAUCUAACCAGAAAGCCACGGCUAACUACGUGCCAGCAGCCGCCGUAA
rnacentral:rRNA from 1 species